rnacentral:tRNA from 1 species
AGGAGGGUUCCUUUAUUGGUAAAAAGGGUUGAGCUGUAAACUCAAUAGUUAUCGCUUUUAAGAGUUCGAAUCUCUUGUCUCCUA